GAAUACAUUCAAAUUUUUGGCAAUCGCUGCAUUUUCGAUAUGGAAAACUGCUUAGCCAGCGGCAAAUGGAUUGAAGUACGUGGUGAAAUGUGUGGUUUGGCCGAAGACUAAAUACUUUUCUUUAUUUUUCUUCUUAUUUG